UAGGGAAUCUUCCGCAAUGGGCGAAAGCCUGACGGAGCAACGCCGCGUGAGUGAUGAAGGUCUUCGGAUCGUAAAACUCUGUUAUUAGGGAAGAACAAAUGUGUAAGUAACUAUGCACGUCUUGACGGUACCUAAUCAGAAAGCCACGGCUAACUACGUGCCAGCAGCCGCGGUAAUACGUAGGUGGCAAGCGUUAUCCGGAAUUAUUGGGCGUAAAGCGCGCGUAGGCGGUUUUUUAAGUCUGAUGUGAAAGCCCACGGCUCAACCGUGGAGGGUCAUUGGAAACGGAAAACUUGAGUGCAGAAGAGGAAAGUGGAAUUCCAUGUGUAGCGGUGAAAUGCGCAGAGAUAUGGAGGAACACCAGUGGCGAAGGCGACUUUCUGGUCUGUAACUGACGCUGAUGUGCGAAAGCGUGGGGAUCAAACAGG
rnacentral:rRNA from 1 species